UACGUAGGGUGCGAGCGUUGCCCGGAUUUACUGGGCGUAAAGGGCGCGUAGGCGGCCUGUGCAAGUCAGUUGUGAAAUCUCCGAGCUUAACUCGGAACGGUCAACUGAUACUGCUCGGCUAGAGUGCGGAAGGGGCAACUGGAAUUCUUGGUGUAGCGGUGAAAUGCGUAGAUAUCAAGAGGAACACCUGCGGCGAAGGCGGGUUGCUGGGCCGACACUGACGCUGAGGCGCGAAAGCUAGGGGAGCGAACGGG
rnacentral:rRNA from 1 species